rnacentral:tRNA from 1 species
GGGGGUAUAGCUCAGUGGUACAGUAUUCGACUGCUAAUCGAGAGGUCCCCAGUUCAAACUAAGGUGCCCCCU